rnacentral:rRNA from 1 species
GAUGAACGCUGGCGGCGUGCUUAACACAUGCAAGUCGAACGAUGAAGCCCAGCUUGCCGGGUGGAUUAGUGGCGAACGGGUGAGUAACACGUGAGUAACCUGCCCUUAACUCUGGGAUAAGCCUGGGAAACUGGGUCUAAUACCGGAUAGGAGCGUCCACCGCAUGGUGGGUGUUGGAAAGAUUUAUCGGGUUUGGAUGGACUCGCGGCCUAUCAGCUUGUUGGUGAGGUAAUGGCUCACCAAGGCGACGACGGGUAGCCGGCCUGAGAGGGUGACCGGCCACACUGGGACUGAGAAACGGCCCAGACUCCUACGGGAGGCAGCAGUGGGGAAUAUUGCACAAUGGGCGGAAGCCUGAUGCAGCGACGCCGCGUGAGGGAUGACGGCCUUCGGGUUGUAAACCUCUUUCAGUAGGGAAGAAGCGAAAGUGACGGUACCUGCAGAAGAAGCACCGGCUAACUACGUG